GGCUGUCUAUCUGCAAUGAGUUAAGCUGAUGCUGGAUGUGGUGCUCCCACAGGCUCCACCAAGAAGGAUCUUUCCACAGUGUCAGCUGAGUCAGAUAACAAGCUCCCUAAGGAUUCCAUCCCUGCCAGGUAUUGAAAUGGAAAAAAACCCCUCCGUUUUACUCUGUCCUUCAUCUCUGAAGCACAUCAAAGCCUGACUGAAUUCUCUGUGUGAAGGGAGGAAGAGAAGCACUGGAUGACAGUAUUGGGCUGCUAUUUAGACAAAGUAGAAGAGGAAUAGGUCUGAACCAUCUGCCUGUACUUGGCUUAUGUCUAACUUCACUGUUUAACAGGAAUACAGCUGCAAAAACUUAUAUGGACACAUUUUCUUGAGAAGGUAACCAACCACCAUGGACUCCUUUAUUCUUUGCUGUCAAAAGGAGAGGUAGAAGUUAUCGUAAAGAAGUAAAAAGGAUAGACCUAAAUAUUAAAUUAGGUGCUAAAUGGAGAUCUGACAUGAGUUCAUCCUCCAAAGGGUACCAGAUAGCCCUAAAAGAUAGUUCUCAGCUUCAGUAGAAAUCAUGGAUAUGUCAGAUAAUGGAAAUGGUCUUCUCUGGGAACUACAACUGCCAGUUUUCCAGUUGACAAUAUGAGUGAAUACUUGGGUAAUUUACUUGAUAUUUUAUUGACAAAUUAUUUUUACAUAUCUAGUAAAUAAAAACUUAUCUCUGAAGGUUUGAGCUAUUAUU
rnacentral:lncRNA from 1 species